CUGGAGGUAUCAGAAGUGCGAAUGCUGACAUAAGUAACGAUAAAGCGGGUGAAAAGCCCGCUCGCCGGAAGACCAAGGGUUCCUGUCCAACGUUAAUCGGGGCAGGGUGAGUCGACCCCUAAGGCGAGGCCGAAAGGCGUAGUCGAUGGGAAACAGGUUAAUAUUCCUGUACUUGGUGUUACUGCGAAGGGGGGACGGAGAAGGCUAUGUUGGCCGGGCGACGGUUGUCCCGGUUUAAGCGUGUAGGCUGGUUUUCCAGGCAAAUCCGGAAAAUCAAGGCUGAGGCGUGAUGACGAGGCACUACGGUGCUGAAGCAACAAAUGCCCUGCUUCCAGGAAAAGCCUCUAAGCAUC
rnacentral:rRNA from 1 species